rnacentral:misc_RNA from 1 species
GUGAAUCAUCAAAUUUUUGAACGCAAAUUGCACUUCUUGGUAUUCCGAGAAGUACACAUGCUUGAGGGUCAGUUAAAAAAAAGUCGUACAUCUUUGAUGUUACGGAUCUGGGUAUAUCGAUUUUAUAAAUCGAUUACCUAAAAUUAAUAUAUAUAUGUAAUGUGAAGCGUACUAAUUAUAGUCGUUAAUCAUUUUAUAUUUAUUACAUUACAACUAAGUAAUUUAGGUAGUGAUGUAUGAAUUAUGAGAAUGACCUCAAGUCAUGUGAGAGUACCCGCUGAACUUAAGCAUAUCAAUAAG